rnacentral:rRNA from 1 species
AUGCAGUCGAGCGGUAGAGAGGUGCUUGCACCUCUUGAGAGCGGCGGACGGGUGAGUAAAGCCUAGGAAUCUGCCUGGUAGUGGGGGAUAACGCUCGGAAACGGACGCUAAUACCGCAUACGUCCUACGGGAGAAAGCAGGGGACCUUCGGGCCUUGCGCUAUCAGAUGAGCCUAGGUCGGAUUAGCUAGUUGGUGAGGUAAUGGCUCACCAAGGCGACGAUCCGUAACUGGUCUGAGAGGAUGAUCAGUCACACUGGAACUGAGACACGGUCCAGACUCCUACGGGAGGCAGCAGUGGGGAAUAUUGGACAAUGGGCGAAAGCCUGAUCCAGCCAUGCCGCGUGUGUGAAGAAGGUCUUCGGAUUGUAAAGCACUUUAAGUUGGGAGGAAGGGCAUUAACCUAAUACGUUAGUGUUUUGACGUUACCGACAGAAUAAGCACCGGCUAACUCUGUGCCAGCAGCCGCGGUAAUACAGAGGGUGCAAGCGUUAAUCGGAAUUACUGGGCGUAAAGCGCGCAUAGGUGGUUCGUUAAGUUGGAUGUGAAAUCCCCGGGCUCAACCUGGGAACUGCAUUCAAAACUGUCGAGCUAGAGUAUGGUAGAGGGUGGUGGAAUUUCCUGUGUAGCGGUGAAAUGCGUAGAUAUAGGAAGGAACACCAGUGGCGAAGGCGACCACCUGGACUGAUACUGACACUGAGGUGCGAAAGCGUGGGGAGCAAACAGGAUUAGAUACCCUGGUAGUCCACGCCGUAAACGAUGUCAACUAGCCGUUGGGAGCCUUGAGCUCUUAGUGGCGCAGCUAACGCAUUAAGUUGACCGCCUGGGGAGUACGGCCGCAAGGUUAAAACUCAAAUGAAUUGACGGGGGCCCGCA